UUUCCCUCUCCUCGUCAAGAAUAUUUCCUAAGAUUUAUUCUCUACGACCUUCUUCUUCUUCAGCUAACAGAGUAAUUCAGCUCAAUCACCAAGGCAGAGCUCCAGGUGAAUUCAACAGAAAAAGAUGGUUCUUCAAUCAUAGAUUGAAAGAGGAGAUGGUGAUUGUGGUGCAAUCUGAAGAAGGUAGAGGUUGUAGUUGUGGUGAUUGUCAGAUCUGAAGACGGAGGAAGUGGUGGUAGUGAUAAUGGCCAGACUUGAAGAGAAGGGGUUGUAGCCGGAGAAGAAAAGGUUUGGGCCAUCCAGAGGCGGAUAUUCGUAGAAAGAGCAUUAUUACGGAUUGAUUUGAGCUCGGUUCGAGGUACUAGCUAUCAGCCUCGAGUCUAGUUGUGUGGUUGCUGCUUCAUGAGACUUCAAGGUACAUCUUCCCGCAUCCGUAGACCUCAAA